rnacentral:rRNA from 1 species
UACAGAGGGUGCGAGCGUUGUUCGGAAUUAUUGGGCGUAAAGGGCGCGUAGGCGGUGCCACAAGUCACUUGUGAAAUCUCCGGGCUUAACUCGGAGUCUGCAGGCGAAACUGUGGUGCUGGAGUGUGGGAGAGGUGCGUGGAAUUCCCGGUGUAGCGGUGAAGUGCGUAGAUAUCGGGAGGAAUACCAGAGGCGAAGGCGACAAUCUGGACAGACACUGACACUCAACUACGAAAGCGUGGGGAUCAAACAGG